AACAUUUUUAUGGUGCUCGCUUUGGCAGCACAUAUACAGAGAAGAUUAGCAUAGCCCCUGUGUAAGGAUGACACGCAAAUUUGUGAAGCGUUCCAUAUUGUU
ensembl:snRNA U6 U6 spliceosomal RNA